UUUGUAAUUGAGUGUAGGGGAGAUCUAAUAACUGAUGCAAAAUAUCAGAGCAGAAGGAAACUAUACCAUCCAUCAUGUGGGGCAUUUAUGUUUGUGUUCAAGUGGAGAGGGAAAACAUGGCGUACUGAUGCAUCAAGAGAAGAUGGAUCAUUUGGGCGACUAGUCAAUGAUGAACACAGAUAUCCAAACUGUAAGAUGAA